rnacentral:rRNA from 1 species
AAGUAAAAGUCGUAACAAGGUUUCCGUAGGUGAACCUGCGGAAGGAUCAUUAUUGAAAUAAACCUGAUGGGUUGUUGCUGGUUCUCUAGGGAGCAUGUGCACACCUUGUCAUCUUUAUAUCUCCACCUGUGCACUUUUUGUAGACCUUUCAGGUCUAUGUUGCUUCAUUUACCCCAAUGUAUGUUAAUAGAAUGUUGUGCCUAUAUAAUAUAUACAACUUUCAGCAACGGAUCUCUUGGCUCUCGCAUCGAUGAAGAACGCAGCGAAAUGCGAUAAGUAAUGUGAAUUGCAGAAUUCAGUGAAUCAUCGAAUCUUUGAACGCACCUUGCGCUCCUUGGUAUUCCGAGGAGCAUGCCUGUUUGAGUGUCAUUAAUAUAUCAACCUUCUCUUUUUUGAGUUGUUUGGAUGUGGGGGUUUGCUGGCCUCUUAAAUGAUUCAGCUCCCCUGAAAUGCAUUAGCAGAACAACCUGUUCAUUGGCGUGAUAAUUAUCUAUGCUAUUGAAUGUGAGGGCAGUUCAGCUUUCUAACCGUCCUCGGACAAUUCAUCAUUAAUGUGACCUCAAAUCAGGUAGGACUACCCGCUGAACUUAAGCAUAUC